GGUAUUAUCAAGGGGCCUGCAACUCUAAACUCUUACUAAACUAUACUAAUGAUGUAGCAGUAGUAUCCGUAGUAUUCCUAGUAUUUUCCAAUCAAAGCAAGUUGUCAAGCGUCGUUUAUUAUUGUGUUGUUUCAGUCGCUUUACCGACGCAAAAUGGAAGUGAAAACGUUGUUACCCUCGAGCUAGAAUUGGAAGGAAAAAAGACUGGCGAAAAUUCCCUGAUUUGGAUACAAGGCGGGUCGGUUAGAGUUAAUGGAAAAUGUUCGUUUCCUUCGGGAAUUGAUGCAGAGAGUCUAACGAGUGAUCACAAAGCAUCCGAAGGACAACGUAAUGGAGAAUUGUUAUACGGUUCAAUGUGUUCCAACACACUCAUCUGCGAACGGUAAUAGUGGCGGUGGACACAACCAACCGGUGCGGAUUUUGACGUUUCUUGGGAGAAAAUCGAAGCAGUUUCAUUUUCCUCCUCAACCCUUCACCCACCGUUCGUUGGCGCCAACCGAUUGCGAUCCUCUAAAAACGCCAAAAUCUAAUCCGGUAAGCCGGUUGGUUGUGCCCGCAGCCGCUAAUACCGAAACAAAUUUAGAAAAUGUAGCGAAGUAGUUGACGAUGCGUGUUUCAAAUAUGAAAAAUAAUGAAUAAAAUGUAACUAAUUA